rnacentral:rRNA from 1 species
GAUGAACGCUGGCGGCGUGCCUAAUACAUGCCAGUCGAGCGAACAGACGAGGAGCUUACUCCUCUGACGUUAGCGGCGGACGGGGGAGUAACACGUGGAUAACCUACCUAUAAGACUGGGAUAACUUCGGGAAACCGGAGCUAAUACCGGAUAAUAUAUUGAACCGCAUGGUUCAAUAGUGAAAGACGGUUUUGCUGUCACUUAUAGAUGGAUCCGCGCCGCAUUAGCUAGUUGGUAAGGUAACGGCUUACCAAGGCAACGAUGCGUAGCCGACCUGAGAGGGUGAUCGGCCACACUGGAACUGAGACACGGUCCAGACUCCUACGGGAGGCAGCAGUAGGGAAUCUUCCGCAAUGGGCGAAAGCCUGACGGAGCAACGCCGCGUGAGUGAUGAAGGUCUUCGGAUCGUAAAACUCUGUUAUUAGGGAAGAACAAAUGUGUAAGUAACUAUGCACGUCUUGACGGUACCUAAUCAGAAAGCCACGGCUAACUACGUG